GAAUUAAAAUACACCAUCAUUAGAACCUGCAGAGGCAGAUGAAAUGCUUUCAUUGAAACAAGAAAAUCCCCACUAGUACUAUGGUGAGAAGUGAAACUUACUUGCCAUGCUACUCACCAGAGGAGCAAUCAUAUGGUUUCCUGGUAAGUUUCUCCACCUUGAUGUCUCUGUGAUUAACUCUAAGGAAAGAAUGAGAACUAUUAUGAAAUUCAGAAUUACUAAGCAAGAAUGACAACUGAUAUUCAUGGGGAACUGCUCCCUUCUUCAGACACUGUUCUUUUCUAACCCACACACACCUUGUACUUCACAGGAAGCUGUCUGUAUAAGUUGUUUGUAUAUAUAAACUGAGCUCCCCCUAACCUACAACAGCUGAGAAGCAGUUCUUAAUAGUUCUCUAAGUUACUGUUUACAAAACAACAGAAUGCCUUUCUUCACAUUUUAUGGUUAUUCCAAGGACAGAAACUACAGAUGGAUAAAAAAAAAAAAAAAAAAAGGCAUCUGCUGGAGGUUUCUUCAUACGUAAACCUUGACAACAAGCACAUUUGAAACACUUGCUGUGUUAUUGCUGGAAAGGAAAGAGUGGUUUAGUCCUCUAUAUUUAAAAACGUUUCAAAUCUGAACAGAAUAAAGAGUGUUUGCAACCAUGGCAACUUCUACAUUCAUUUUUAUAAAAACUGUAAUAUCUCUGAAAAUUUGUGACAUGGUGCAGCAAGCAUGUCACAUUGUGUAGGCUUAUGUUAUGUCUUGAAAGCCUGAAUGACUUGAUGUGACCUGGCACAAUGCCAUGGAUAUUUAAAAGAUUUCUAGGGAAAUUGCUGCUCUAGUGGAAGGUAGAGGUGAAAAAGUUUUUACAUAGCAUUAGAAAAAAACAUGAAAAAAUGAAAUACUUAAGGAAAACUUUAAAAUGUAGGUAUCUGUGGAGUACUUUCACAUCCAGGAUGGUAAAAAUUACAGAACAUUGUGGCUGCACAGGAGAAAGACCUUUAUCCAACUUCUGGCAUCUCCACUCACUGGGACUACACAGCUAUUGUAGUAGAUGCUGGCAGAAGCCUGUACAUCCCUGAGUCUUGAAAGUCAGAUGAUGGCUGUAUGAAUCCCAUUCUGCUCUUAGGUCUGGAAGGGUACCCAUAGGCAAUACAAGAUGACUUCAGUUCAUACUGUCCCUGGUUCUUGCAUUGCUGCACUAGAUUUAAAUAAUAAAAAUAAUAAAUUACAACAGAAUCUAUAUAUAGACAAAGUUUCUAGUCAUCCCCUUGCAGCUCAGAAAAAAAAGUGUCCCCAGUGCAAGCAGAAAGAAGGAAGUAUGUUCCACCUAUGACUUGAAGAAGUAACACAGUGCUAUGGAAAAUAAAAUUUACAGUUGCAGCUUCAGUUCCUGUUUUCUCCUGCUGCAGAGGGAGUGCCUGCUGGAUUUAGGGAGACAAUUAGGAAUAUCAUAGUGAUUAGCGUAUCUUCUUUGCCAAAUCUCCACCAUGGCCUGAGUUCCAGGGCCUGGCUUAUGGGCCUGUUGAAUUUAAGAAAGCCAAACAUUUCCUUGCAAUGACUUCCUUCCAUGCUCAUGUAUCCCCAAGAGCAGGACUUCUUGUCAAGCACUUCAUGUGUUUGAAGUGCAGUACUCCUAAAAGCAGGUGGAUCUGGAUUUUAGAAAUAAUUAAAAUCUUGUGGUGACUGAAAAGGUUUCCUCCAUUGGCCUCAUGGGCACUUGCAAAGUUGAAGCUUUCCUGCAGAGCAGCUUCACUUUCUGUACAAGGGGUAGCAAAACUGGGAUGGCAGGCAGGAGAUGCUGAGAUCUUGUCCUGUACUCUGGCAUUGCACACUGGUUUUUGCUGUUGAUCUCCUUUUGACGUGACAUGAAGUCUUCAACACUCAGUGUCUAAAUGUUUACAGUAUCUGUGUCUGCUAGAUAUAUUGGAUUGCUUUUACUGUUAUUAAAAUUAGAAUAAUCAGUUCCAACAGGAAGCUGACCAGAUGUCCUCAUUUAAUCAGAACAGAUCCCCUUUUUUCACGUAAUAUCCAGCUGUCCUAAUACUUUUCAGAGUAGACCCAUUAAUCUCAGUUUUCGUUGCAGUGAAAUUCUUGAUAGCUGUCAAGAAAUGCUCACUAAUAAUUGUCUGAUCCCUUCAUACUGUUUAAUGCUCAGAACUUUUCUUAAUAAGCAAAGAAAAUCAUAUUCUAUUUGCAAGGAAAUGCUUCAGUCUCACCCCUAGUGUAAAAUAUUUUCAAGAGAAUUCAUUAUGAAAGUAUUUUUGGAUUAAUUUAAUUUGUACACUAUUUUCUCAGACUGUAGGAAGCAGUUGGAAUGUUGUCUGGCAGAAUGUGUAGGGGAGAGAAAAUACACAUUUCUACAUAUGGG
ensembl:lncRNA